rnacentral:tRNA from 1 species
ACUGACCCGGGACUCUCUGCUACAGAGAGCCCACCUUCGACCGUCACCACGACGGUCACUAUUCAUUUGCACGGUCACUGGCGUCCACGCAGCCACCGUUCCGGACACUUCAGAACUACCAAGGCUCACAAAACACGCGAACAACCCUUCCUGAACGACAGGAAGGUGGGCUCAUAGCUCAGCGGUAGAGUGCCUCCCUUGCAAGGAGGAUGCCCUGGGUUCGAAUCCCAGUGAGUCCAUGUCAGCCUUCAAGCGAAUCCGUCGCCCUUACAUAGGCGGCGUGGUUCGGUUGAAGUAGACGACCGAUGCACCAUUCCGGGAAACCGCGAAUGGGAAGGGUUCGACGAACGCCCCGCCAGGGCGAUUCGAUGACGACCGUGUAUACGUGCGAUCCAGACGUCCACUGAACUCAUCCGAGUUCGUGGAACGUCAGUAAACCAUAUACAGUCGGUGACUUUUCGAAGUCACAGACACACUACU